rnacentral:rRNA from 1 species
UGGGGAAUUGUUCACAAUGGACGCAAGCCUGAUGACGCAACGCCGCGUGGGGGAUGAAGGUCUUCGGAUCGUAAACCCCUGUCGAAUGGGACGAAUAGCCCGCGAAUUAAUACCUCGUGGGAAUGACGGUACCGUUAAAGGAAGCCACGGCUAACUCUGUGCCAGCAGCCGCGGUAAUACAGAGGUGGCAAGCGUUGUUCGGAAUUACUGCGCGUAAAGGGCGCGUAGGCGGCCAUCUAAGUCAGACGUGAAAUCCCCCGGCUCAACCUGGGAACUGCGUCUGAUACUGGCGGGCUUGAGUAUGGGAGAGGAAAGCGGAAUUCCUGGUGUAGCGGUGAAAUGCGUAGAUAUCAGGAGGAACACCGGUGGUGUAGACGGCUUUCUGGACCAUUACUGACGCUGAGGCACGAAAGCGUGGGGAGCAAA